UGAUAGCGUUGAAGCGUGAGGUUGCUGUAGAAAUUCUACAGGUUUUCCGUGGAGCGAAUGUCAAGUUAGAAAACUGGCGACAA
ncrna:unclassified sequences S10-Clostridia ribosomal protein leader